rnacentral:lncRNA from 1 species
AGUUCGGAGAUAUUCAGGAGGGGUGAAAGCAAGAUUUGUGCUGUAACUUUUCCCAUCUCGACUGUUCUUCAUCAAGCCAAAAGUAGAAAGUCUUGGAUUGCAUUCCUCAUCAAAUAAAACACGGUAGGCGUUGAGGUCGUGAUAGAGAAUACGGCCUUGGUUGGUGCAGUAUUCAAGAGCUUGUGCUAGAUAUAACACAACUCUUAGCCUCAUUGUCCAUUUCAUAGGUUGCGUUUCCCCUGGGUUGCGUUGCACACACACACUUAUUAGACUCUGACAUGUAAACAAGAUUUAGUUAAAUCAAAACUACUGAGUGAGUGAGUCUUACAAUGGAAAAGGUGUUUGGCUAAGGUUUCAUUGGGCAUAAACUCAGCGACAAGCAACCUCUCGUCACCUUCGCAGCAACAGCCGAGUAAAUUAGCCAUUCUCUCACUCCGCAGCUGACCAACCGACCUCGCUUCCUCCUGCACAUUGGGAGAACACAUUCUCUAACAUGGAAGAGAAUGAAAACAAAAGAGUAUACUGGGUGCCAUUUGUGCUAUCCAUCUUAUAUCCAAUACCUUAGGUUUUGAGGUUUGCAUGCAUAUAUGGUACGUAACAGAAACAAACACCCACUCUCUUACGCACAGUGUGACACUAAACACCAAUUAUUCGCACAACUAUCUAAAAAAUGACACUAAAUUACAUUCUUACAUAUCUAGGACCUGGUCUUGGAUACACAACCUAAAGAAUCGGCACAACAAAACCUCAUUUAAUCAAGUUCUGUACGUCUACCAAAACUUAGCACACAUAUAUACGAGUUACAAAAAAACGUUGAGUAUUACUGUAUAAUGUAUCGGAUAUUUGUCGCAGACUGCUAGAGCAAAUGAAGAUAAACAAAAGCUAUUAAUUAUAUCAGAUUGAUCGCUUAAGUUUUGAAAAAUGCAAGAUUUUCCAUUCUACAGACCAGCUGACACUUUCAAAUAAUCUAUAUAGAGUUGUCGUUAAGAGGUCCAAUGAUUCUUUUGUACGCUUAGAAAUCGAACCUUCUCAUCUACUGUCAAUUUAUUAGGUUUCAACUUGCAGCCAAACGACCCCGCAUCAGUCUUAUCAGUCGUCUCUUCUGAUUAUAUGGGGUAUUUUUCAUCCAUAUUGAAAGUCAGAACUUUCUUUUUCAUAUUUAAGAAAGUUUUACUAUUCUAAUUAUCUGACAACCACUAUGAUAUGAUCGUAACUAACUUACAUAUAGGGGUGUCAAAUAGGCCGUCCGGACGGAUUUGGGUGUGUCCAGAUGGGCUUAUUUUUUUUGGGCACGUUUGGUCAAAACCCAAAUAAUACCAUUUCCAAAUAGGACCAUAACCAAAUAGGACCAUGUCCAGUUGGACUGUCCAUGGAAUCCAGAUGUCCACUUAAUGUAAAAAAUCUAAUUUUCAAUUUAAAAGAUGUACAGAUUCUAAAUGUCAAAUAUAACAUUUUGAACUUACUUAAACUUCAUAUUUUAACAAAAGAUACUUAAAGUCUUAAACUAAGAGCUAUCGAUAAAAUCCAGACUCUACAAGUCUAUAAUCGAACAUAACUACAUAAGUCGAACUCUACAACUCUUAAAGAGCUCGCAAACCCAUCAAAUCUAGAAUCGCAAACAUUGAAUCUAGAAAGACCCAUUACACUUUAGAGGCUUAGAUAGAUAUUCGAGAGAGAAGAAGAUAUUCCCAAAUCCCAAAAUCCCUAAAUCCCUAAUCCCUAAAUCGAGAGAGAGAGAGACUGUAACAAACCUGAAACAAGUCGGCUUACGAGAACGUUUGGGUUUGACCGUUUGAGUUACGAGAGAGAGAUUUGAUGGAACAUUUGGGUUACGAGAGUGAAUAAGAUGAAGUGAAGAAGAUCGAGCUCUCUCUCGUGAUUCACGAAAAGGGAAUUCUGAUUUUUUUCUCAAAUCGAUUAACCCUAAACAUUUUAAAAUUUUGGACCGCCCAUGUCCAUCUGGUUUUGCCCAUUUAGGCCAUGGGUUUAUUUGGGCCUCGUCUAUUUGGACACACAUUUUUCCGGACGAAUAUGGACUAUCCAUAUUAGUCCAUAUUAAUUUGGACAUGGGCUGUCCAUGGACAGCUAGCCCAUUUGACAUCCCUAGGGUGACACCCUCGUCGUCUUUGUAUCCAAGUUUAUCCAAGAUCUCAAGCAUAGCAGUCAGGUCCUUUCUCGAGCAAGCCUCACCGAGAGGGGACAGGGGAGACACCGAACCACUGUGAGGCAGACCCAUUAGAACAUGAGAUGGGACCUGCAGUGUUAACAUUUAUCUGAGUCAACAACAUAGAGAAACUUGGUCCUUCAUUUUUAUUAAUGGCGUAAUUAAUAUAUGAAAUGGGAACCUCAGUGUCCUUCUGAAGAGUAGUCAGGGCAGUGACCAAAGACUUUGUGUUUGGCCUCUCACGAGCUUCGUACUGGAGACAACGAGACGCCAGGCGUACUAGCUCUGUGCCAUCGCUUUCAGAGAAUUGCCCAUCUAGGCAAGAAUCAGUUAGCGUCUGGAGAUUUCUGUCUCUAAUCAGAUCAAGGGCCUACACAGAAUCAGAUUGAAAGAGAAUCAAUCUUCACCUCCAUUAUGUGAAAGAGUUGCAAUCCCAUAUGCUAAGAAUACACUUACAUGGCUAGGAGGUAUAUGUUUCCCGCUGAGAACAUCAAGCAGAAGAGUUCCAAAGCUGUAUAUCACACUCUCUGGAGUAAUCCUCCCUGUAAACACACACACAUGAAAACAUUAGUCUCAACUCAACCAUAUCAAUAUUGGUUAAAAAACAAAAAAAAACAAAUUGAUGAUUGUACCAGUUCGGAGAUAUUCAGGAGGGGUGAAAGCAAGAUUUGUGCUGUAACUUUUCCCAUCUCGACUGUUCUUCAUCAAGCCAAAAGUAGAAAGUCUUGGAUUGCAUUCCUCAUCAAAUAAAACACGGUAGGCGUUGAGGUCGUGAUAGAGAAUACGGCCUUGGUUGGUGCAGUAUUCAAGAGCUUGUGCUAGAUAUAACACAACUCUUAGCCUCAUUGUCCAUUUCAUUGGUUGCGUUUCCC